rnacentral:lncRNA from 1 species
AAGGAGAAAAAAAAAGAAAAAAUCUCUCUUUCUCUCUCCCUCGCGCGCCGCGACCCCCCCCCCGUUCUCUUCUCUUUUCCUUUCUCUUUUCUCUUCUCCCUUCCGUUUUCUUCCCGUCACAGCCCAGCCGCAACCGCCGCCGAUCCUUUCUCUUCCGUUCUCUUCCCGCCGCAGCUCAGCCGCCCCAUCCGUUUCCUUCUCUCCGUUCGUCGCGUGAACAUGUAACCGCCGGCUGUCUUCCCCUCUCCUUUCUCCUCUGUUCUCUGCCCAGCACCGCGUGACCCUCCGCCCAGCGCCGUGUGACCCUCUGCCCACCGCCCCGCGCGACCUCUGUCUCCGCGCGUUACCGUUACUACGACCAGAUCUGCGUCGUCGUGCCCCGUCCUAAAUCGUCUUUGUCUCCGUCGAAGUUUUGUUGGUAAGAUUAAAGUUAUGAAAUUGUAGUCGUUUCCAAAACAAUUUAAGUAUGGGUUAUGAUGUUUUCAAGGUGUUCAAACGUUACGGAUGGGUUAAUUGACUAAUUUGAUAAAUUAUUCUUGAAGGUGUGAAAGGUAACUUUGGGUCACUUAAAUUCACAACCAAUUUGUGAAUUGUUAAGGGUUCAGUUCGCCAGUAUUUCGGUAAGUUGGGGAAUUUACAUAUGGAGUAAUUUGAAAGGUUGAAACUAUUUAGAACGAUGUUUGAUUUUAUGAAUUGAAUUAUGUUUAGGAUUUGAUUCAUUGGAUUUAGUAGAUUGAAGAAUUUGCAUAGAAAUCGAGGUAAGGGAUUUUCUACUGGACUCAAUUGUGAUUGUGAACUGUGAUUGUGAACUGUAUGUGUGUUGAAUGUAUACUGGGGUUGACUGAAAAUAUAUAUGAAUGUAUAUAAAUUGAAGUAGACUUGACGUCGAAUGUAUGUCGUGAUUGUCAUGGAAUCUAUAUAUAAAUGUGUGUAUGUGGACAGGACGGAGAUUGUAGAUUGUGUUUGUAUGAGAUUCUCGUUUAGAUUGGGUGUAUGAUUACGCUAAAGUAUGACUGUGUGCUGGUGAACUGAGGGGUGCAUUGACUGUAUAGUGGAUUGACUGAUGUAUUAGCAUAUUAUUGACAGACAUAUGACUGUAGUAAAAUAAGUUAACUGUUAGGAUGUUGAAAGAAAGAACUUUGUGACUUGAAGUAACUGAAAGAUGGGUUGAAUGGAAUGAGGGGAUAAAUUGUUAGAUUGUAUUGGGAUGUUUACCUUGUAGGUGUCCCACGGGAUCACCAAUUUAUUGUGCACCUUCGGGAGCAUUUGACUGAUAUGUGUUUCUGCAGAACACUAGACUGAUAUGUACGUCCCUCGGGGCGUUAGACUGAGAUGUGUAUUCUACGGGAUCACAAGACUGCGACUGUACAUGGUGUUCCAAUAGAACUUUAACAAUUUAUUUUCCCCUGACGGGACCAGUAGAGGGUCUCUUACUGAGUAUUUAAAAUACUCACCCUUCUUAUGUUAAAUUUUCAGGCAAAGGUAAUAAAGGCAACAAACAGGCGAGGGGCAGGAAGGAAGCGUGAUGCCAUAGGAAACGUGUUUUUGCUUCCGCUUAUGGGUUCUUGUGAGGUUUAAAAUGAAUUGAAAUUUAGUUUACAAACGUUGGUUGUAAAUAGUAUUAUUUUAUGUUUUCUUGAAUGUUUAAAAAUCAGGCCUGACUUAAAGAUGUUUUGUUUUUAAAUUGCUUACGUUUUGUUUUAUAUUAAUCAAAGUCUUUAUUUGUUAAAAAUUAACGAUCUCGACGUACUUAGAAAAGUUGGGUUGUUACAGUUGGUAUCAGAGCCUAAGUUUUAGGUUCUGUAGACUGACUUACGAUGUAAGUCUAUGUUUUUGUGUCCCUAUGGCUAACGCGACCCUUCGUCUCUCGUCAGGUAUGCUUUAUGCUUAUAUGUAUGGUUUAUGUAUAUGACCUUGCCUAAGUUAAACUAGAAUUACAUGAAUGUUAUGAUUCAACAAGUUAAAGUAGUUGCUUGUGCUCCUCGUCAGUUGAAGAGUCAUGAGGAAAAUUAUACAACUUAUGAUAUGGAAUUGACAGUUGUGGUUUUUACAUUAAUGAUUUGAAGGCACUAUUUGUAUGAUGAAAAGAUAUAGAUAUUUUCUAACCAAAAGAGUAUAAAAUACUUCUUCACUCAAAAGAAGUUGAGUAUGAGAUAGCAAAGAUGGUUUCAGUUAGUAAAUGACUAUGAUUGUGAGAUUUUGUACCAUCUAGGUAAGGCGAAUGUGGAAGUUGGUGCUCUUCGUAGAAAAGUAUCACAUUUUGACAGCACUUAUUACCAGACAGGUUUCAUUAGACAAAAACCACGAGAGAGCUGAGAUUGUAGUUUUAGUGGGAGAAGUCACCUCACAGUUAGCUCAGUUGUCAGUACAUCCGAUCUUGAGACAAAGAAUUCUUGUGGUUCAAUUCAUUGAUCCUUAUUUGAUUGAGAAGCAUCGCCUAGUAGAAGUAGGGCAAGUUAAGGAGUUUUCCAUAUCCUUUGAUGAUGAACUUAUGUUUGAGAGAGAAUUAUGUGUGCCAACAGAAAAAGCAAUUAAGACAAGGUUAUUGGUUGAGACUCAUAGUUUCCCAUUUCUCAUGCAUCCAAGUAGCACAAAAAUGUAUCCGUAUCUGAAAAGAGUUUGUUACUAGCGUAAUAUGAAGAGAGAAAUGGAAGAUCUUGUUAGUAAGUGCUUAGUAUGUCAGCAAGUUAAGGCACCUAGACAGAAACCAGCAGGUUUGUUACAACCUUUAAGUGUGCCAGAGUGGAAGUGGGAGAAUGUGUCGAUGAAUUUUAUUUCAGGGCUGCCUAAGACCCUGAAGGGUUUCACAGUGAUUUUGGUUGUCAUAGACAGGCUUACGAAAUCGGCACAUUUUGUACCAGGGAAAUCCACUUAUACUGCUAGUAAUUGGGCAGAGUUGUAUUUAACUGAGAUUGUGAGACUGCAUGGAGUGCCUGUAUCGAUUGUUUCUGAUAGGGAUGCACGGUUUACUUCCAAGUUUUGGAAGGGACUUCAGACUGCUAUGGGUACGAGAUUGGAUUUUAGUACAGCCUUUCAUCCACAGACUGAUGGUCAAACUGAACGUUUGAACCAAGUUUUAGAGGAUAUGCUACGAGCUUGUGUUAUAGAGUUUCCAGGUAGUUGGGACUUUCAUCUACAUUUGAUGGAGUUUUCUUAUAACAACAGUUUCCAGGUUACCAUCGGUAUGACACCAUUUGAGGCUUUGUAUGGCAAAUGUUGUAGAACCCCUGUUUGUUGGGGUGAGGUUGGUGAACAUAGGUUGAUGGGACCUGAAUUAGUUCGGUCUACUAAUGAGGCUAUUCAAAAGAUUAGAGCACGUAUGCAAACAGCGCAGAGUAGACAGAAGAGUUAUGCGGAUGUACGGCGAAAAGACCUUAAGUUCGAUGUGGGAGAAAAGGUAUUCUUGAAGGUAGCACCUAUGAAGGGUGUUAUGCGUUUUGAGAAGAAAGGAAAGUUAAGUCCUCGUUUUGUUGGACCAUUUGAGAUCUUAGAGACGGUUGGUGUUGUGGCGUAUCGCUUGGCAUUACCACCAUCUCUCUCUGAAGUCCAUAAUGUUUUCCAUGUUUCGAUGUUGAGGAAGUAUAUGGCCGAUACAUCUCAUGUAGUAGACUAUGAACCCUUGGAGAUUGAUGAGCGUUUGAGCUAUGUAGAACAACCUGUGGAGAUUCUGGCUAGAGAGGUAAAGACGCUUCGUAAUAGAAGUAUUCCAUUAGUAAAGGUUUUGUGGCGGAACCAUCGAAUUGAAGAGGCGACAUGGGAGCGAGAGGAAGAGAUGAGGACUCGUUAUCCAGAGUUAUUUCAGGAUUAGAACUUUCGAGGACGAAAGUUUCUUAAGGAGGGAAGAAUGUAACGCCCCAAACUUGAAGGUAAAUUAUUUUGAGAGAAUUAUUUCGAUUUGUUCAAGAUUUUUUUUAAAAAUAUGUUGAAGGGGAGAAAGAAGAUUUGAAAAUGUAUUAAUAUAAUUAAAUAUAUAUAUGUAUUUAAUUAUAUUUUUAUUAUUAUAUAUAUUUUACAUUUUAUUAAAUAAAAGAAAAGAAAAUGAAAAAAAAAAUUUACUUUCUUCUUCCUCCCGUACGCCCAUCCCUUCCGUUCUCUCCGUUCGCGCAGCAACCGCCGUCGGCCAUCUCCGUUCCUCUUCUCCUUCCGUUCGUGCCCAGCCGCAGCCCAGCCGCCGAUCCUUUCCCUUCCGUUUCCUUCCCGCCGCAGCCUAGCCGCAGCCAGCCGCCGGUCCCUUCCUUCCAUUUUCUUCUUCCGUCUGCAGCCCCGCCGCGAAGCAAGACCGUGCCGCUGCCAGUCCAGAUCUGCGUUGCAGUUGUCCCGCGCGCCGAUCUGCCGUCUCCAUCUCCGUUCGCGAAGCAAAAUUGCCGCCGCUCGCCGAACCCAACCGCCACCCUCUCUUUUCUCCUUCGGAUCGAAACCGCCGUCCAGAUCUGCAUCACAACUGCCGCUCGUAACCGUCGGCCGGUUCGUGAAGCCAGCUGCGCAACCUUCGUUCCAACCGCUGCACUGCCGCGCGAUUCUCCAGCCACGUCUUCUUUAGCCGACCGCUGACCGACCCACACUUAGGAUUUUGCUGCGAGUCGACAGUCGUGCGUUGAGGUGUUGGGAGUAACCUUGGGCUCCCUUAAAUUCACAACAAAUUUGUGAAUUGUUGAGGGUUCAGUUCGCCAGUAUUUCGGUAAGUUGUGGAAUUUACAUAUGGAGUAAUUUGAAAGGUUGAAACUAUUUAGAACGAUGUUGAUUUUAUGAUUGAUUAUGUUUAGGAUUUGAUUCAUUGGAUUUAGUAGAUUGAAGAAUUUGCAUAGAAAUCGAGGUAAGGGAUUUUCUACUGGACUCACUUAUGAUUGUGAAUUGUAUGUCUGUAUGAUUAUCUCUGACUGAGUAAAGAUGAUGAGAUGAUAUAUAUAUACACACGUAUGGAUGUAGAUUCGGUGUUGAAUGUAUAUUGUGGAUUGACUGAAAAUAUAUAUAUGCAUAUGAAUUGAAGUAGACUUAAUGUUGAAUGCAUAUUGUGAUUGUCAUGGAAUAUAUAUAUGUGUGUGGAUGUGGACAGGACGAAAAUUGUAGAUUGUGCUUGUAUGAGAUGCAGAUGCGAUCUUGUGAUUGUCGUUUAGAUUGGGUGUACGUUACGCUAAAGUAUGACUGUGUGCUGGUGAUCUGAGGGGUGUAUUGACUGUAUAGUUUGAUUGAUUGACGUAUUAGUAUAUUAUUGACAGACAUAUGACUAAAGUGAGAUAAGUUGACUGUUAGGACGUUGAGAGAAAGAACUCUAUGUUUUGAAGUAACUAAAAGAUGGAUUGAAUGGAAUGAGGGGAUAAAUUGUUAGAUUGUAUUGGGAUGUUUACCUUGUAGGUGUCUCACUGGAUCACCAAUUUAUUUUGCACCUUCGGGAGCAUUUGACUGAUAUGUGUUUCUGCAGAACACUAGACUGAUAUGUACGUCCCUCGGGGCGUUAGACUGAGAUGUGUAUCCUACGGGAUCACAAGACUGCGACUGUACAGGGUGUCCCAAUAGAACUUUAACAAUUUAUUUUCCCCUAACGAGACCAGUAGAAGGUCUCUUACUGAGUAUUGUUAUACUCACCCUUCUUAUGUUUAAUUUUCAGCAAAGGUAAUAAUGGCGGCAAACAGGCGAGGGGCAGGAAGGAAGCGUGAUGCCAUAGGAAACGUGUUUUUGCUUCCGCUUAUGGAUUCUUGUGAGGUUUAAAAUGAAUUGAAAUUUAGUUUACAAACGUUGGUUGUAAAUAGUAUUAUUUUAUGUUUUCUUGAAUGUUUAAAAAUCAGGCCUGACUUGAAGAUGUUUUGUUUUAAAUUGCUUACGUUUUGUUUUAUAUUAAUCAAAGUCUUUAUUUGUUAAAAAUUAACGAUCUCGACGUACUUAGAAAAGUUGGGUCGUUACAUUAUGUAUGAAGGAUAGUAUAUUAAAUAUAAUAAAUUGAAAAACUUUAAUUGGUACCGUAGAUGAAAAUUUAUGAAAAAAUAUAGAAAUAAAAUAACUAAAUUAAAAACUGAAAUAUGAAUAUUUCAAAUAAAAGUAUAAAUCAACAUACUAAAAGUUUAAUAAUAAGAAAGAAAAAUUAGUUCAAUAAGGAAAGCUUGCAUCUCUUUCGUUUAUGACAGCCACAUUUAAAACUUCAUUUUAGAAUGAACUCUAAUAUUUUUUUGUUGACCAACUGAACGUUUUACAUUCAAUGGGAUGAUGUCAACUUCAAUUACUGUAUUAUUGAAUAUAUGCAUUAGUAUGUAUGUAACAAAUCAAAUAAAAUACUAAUUGAAUAUAGAAAAAUAUAAAGAAAAUGAUACAAAACGUGAAGGAAAAAAACUGAACUAUAUAUGUGUCACAAAAUACGUGUUAUUAUAUUUAUAUAAAUGUAUAUAUUGAUAACAUCACCUGUCUAUGUAGUGAUAUAUAUUGAAAUUCAACUAUAAAUUAUGUAGAACUAUAUGUCACUAAAUAUUUAUGUUGUAAAUAAGGUGUAUCUAUAUAUUAAAUCACAUCAUAAACAUAUUAUAAUUUACGAGUAUAUUAUAGUAUAUAUUGUUCAUUUAAAAAAUAUAUGACAAAUAGAAGGUAUAUAAUUAUACGAAGUGAGAAUAUGUAUGUAUGAUAUUCUCACUGCAUAUUAUAUUACACUAAGAAUGUGUAUUUUACUGUUUUAGUAGUAUUUACUAUAUAAAUAUAUAUUUUAAAUAUUAAUUAUGAUUGAUUAUGUUUAGGAUUUGAUUCAUUGGAUUUAGUAGAUUGAAGAAUUUGCAUAGAAAUCGAGGUAAGGGAUUUUCUACUGGACUCAAUUGUGAUUGUGAAUUGUGAUUGUGAAUUGUAUGUGUGUUGAAUGUAUACUGUGAGUUGACUGAAAAUAUAUAUGAAUGUAUAUGAAUUGAAGUAGACUUGACGUCGAAUGUAUGUCGUGAUUGUCAUGGAAUCUAUAUAUAAAUGUGUGUAUGUGGACAGGACGGAGAUUGUAGAUUGUGUUUGUAUGAGAUUCUCGUUUAGAUUGGGUGUAUGAUUACGCUAAAGUAUGACUGUGUGCUGGUGAACUGAGGGGUGCAUUGACUGUAUAGUGGAUUGACUGAUGUAUUAGCAUAUUAUUGACAGACAUAUGACUGUAGUAAAAUAAGUUGACUGUUAGGAUGUUGAAAGAAAGAACUUUGUGACUUGAAGUAACUGAAAGAUGGGUUGAAUGGAAUGAGGGGAAAAUUGUUAGAUUGUAUUGGGAUGUUUACCUUAUAGGUGUCCCACGGGAUCACCAAUUUAUUGUGCACCUUCGGGAGCAUUAGACUGAUAUGUGUUUCUGCAGAACACUAGACUGAUAUGUACGUCCCUCGGGGCGUUAGACUGAUAUGUACGUCCCUCGGGGCGUUAGACUGAGAUGUGUAUCCUACGGGAUCACAAGACUGCGACUGUACAGGGUGUCCCAAUAGAACUUUAACAAUUUAUUUUCCCCUGACGAGACCAGUAGAGGGUCUCUUACUGAGUAUUUAAAUACUCACCCUUCUUAUGUUUAAUUUUCAGGCAAAGGUAAUAAAGGCGGCAAACAGGCGAGGGGCAGAAAGGAAGCGUGAUGCCAUAGGAAACAUGUUUUUGCUUCCACUUAUGGGUUCUUGUGAGGUUUAAAAUGAAUUGAAAUUUAGUUUACAAACGUUUGUUGUAAAUAGUAUUAUUUUAUGUUUUCUUGAAUGUUUAAAAAUCAGGCUUGACUUGAAGAUGUUUUUUUUAAAUUGCUUACGUUUUGUUUUAUAUUAAUCAAAGUCUUUUAUUUGUAAAAAAAUAAUAACGACCUCGACUUACUUAGAAAAGUUGGGUCGUUACAGUUGGUAUCAGAGCCUAAGUUUUAGGUUCUGUAGACUGACUUACGAUGUAAGUCUAUGUUUUUGUGUUCCUAUGGCUAACGCGACCCUUCGUCUCUCGUCAGGUAUGCUUGAUGCUUAUAUGUAUGGUUUAUUUGCAUGACCUUGCCUAAAUUAAACUAGAUUGCAUGACGAUAAAGACUUGCUUAUGCUUAUGAUUAAGAUUUUGUUAAAGAGUGUUGUUGGUGGAUAAUAGGAAUUAUGCCGCCAAGGGAAGGUGUACGUAGAGGAGGUCGUAGAGGCCGAGGUAGAGGAGUAGGAGGCCGAGGUAGAGGAGCAGGAGGCCGAGGUAGAGGAGUAGGAGGCCGAGGUAGAGGAGUAGGAGGCCGAGGUAGAGGAGCAGGUCGUAAUCAGCCUACUGAGGGUCAAGCUGAACAGCGAAUUCCUGCUGCACCCGUGACUCACGUUGAGUUUGAUGCACUGUCUGCUCACAUGGAGCAGAGGUUUACAGAACUUAUGACAGCUAUAGCUCAAAACCAGCAGGCACCUGCAGUCCCACCUGCACCUGUAGUUCCCCCUGCACCAGCAGCCCCUCCUACACAAGGAUUACCUAACCAACUUUCUGCUGAGGCGAAACAUUUGAGGGACUUUCGGAAGUAUGACCCUCAGACGUUUGAUGGGUCACUGGAGGAUCCUACUAAAGCUGAAAUGUGGUUGUCCUCUGUGGAAACCAUAUUUAAUUACAUGAGAUGUCUCGAGGAGCACAGAGUUCAGUGUGCUGCUUUUCUACUGAGGGACAGAGGCAUUAUCUGGUGGAGGACUACAAUGCGCAUGCUAGGUGGAGAUGUGAGGCAGAUUACUUUGGAUCAGUUUAAGGACUGCUUCUAUACCAAGUUUUUCUAGGCUAACCUUAGAGACGCCAAAAGCCAGGAAUUCUUGGAGUUGAAGUAAGGAUAUAUGACAGUCGAGGAGUACGACCAGGAGUUUGAUAUGCUGUCACGUUUUGCCCCUGAGCUUGUUAGUAAUGAGCAGGCUAGAGCUGAUAGGUUCGUCAAGGGAUUGAGAGAUGAAAUUAGGGGCUUUGUGCGAGCACUAAAGCCCACUACCCAAGCUGAAGCACUGCGUCUGGCAGUGGAUAUGAGCAUUGGGAAGGAUGAAAUACAGCCAAGGAGCUUUGAUAAGGGAUCGUCGUCAGGUCAAAAGAGAAAAGUAGAGCAGAGAACUGUAGGAGUUCCUCAGAGGAACUUGAGACCAGGUGAUCCUUUUCGCAGUUUCCAGCAGAGUUCUGGCGGGGCAGGAGACACUAAUCGAGAGAGGCCAGUAUGUAAUACGUGUGGGAAACGCCACCUGGGUCGUUGUUUGAUGGGAACGAGAGUCUGUUAUAAGUGCAAGCAAGAGGGACACAUGGCUGAUAGGUGUCCCUUGAGAUCUACUGGGGCUGGAUCGAGCAGUCAGGGAGAGAGACCUCCACAGCGGGGUACAAUCUUUGCCACUAAUAGAUCAGAGGCAGAGAAGGCCGGCACAGUAGUGACAGGUACAUUACCAGUGUUAGGGCAUUUUGCCUUGACCUUGUUUGACUCGGGAUCUUCUCAUUCAUUUAUUUCAUCGCUUUUUGUGACGCAUGCAUGCUUAGAGGUGGAACCCUUAGACUAUGUUUUGUCAGUGUCUACACCGUCUGGAGAAAUUAUGUUGUCUAAGGAAAAGAUUAAAGCAUGUGAAAUUGAGAUAGCUGGUCGUGUGCUGGACGUAACCUUGUUGGUAUUAGAUAUGCGUGACUUUGAUGUAAUUUUAGGUAUGGAUUGGCUAGCUACUAAUCAUGCUAGUAUUGAUUGUUCUCGUAAGGAAGUUGUGUUCAGUCCCCCUACUGCAUCUAGCUUUAAAUUCAAGGGGGUAGGAACAGUAGUACUGCCUAAAGUAAUCUCAGCUAUGAAAGCUAGUAAACUACUCAACCAGGGUACUUGGAGUAUUUUGGCAAGUGUGGUGGAUACUAGGGAAGGUGAGACUUCUUUAACUUCAGAACCUGUGGUAAGAGAAUACCCAGAUGUAUUUCCAAAAGAUCUUCCAGGACUACCGCCACAUAGAGAGGUUGAUUUUGCCAUUGAGUUGGAGCCAAACACUACUCCUAUUUCUAGAGCCCCUUAUAGGAUGGCUCCUGCUGAGUUGAAAGAACUGAAGGUACAGUUACAGGAAUUGCUUGACAAAGGCUUUAUUCGACCUAGUGUGUCACCUUGGGGUGCACCAGUAUUGUUUGUGAAGAAGAAGGAUGGGUCGAUGCGUCUUUGCAUUGACUAUAGAGAGUUGAAUAAAGUAACAGUCAAGAACAGAUAUCCUUUACCCAGAAUCGAUGAUUUGUUCGAUCAGUUACAGGGAGCCACGGUGUUCUCUAAGAUUGACUUACGGUCAGGUUAUCACCAGUUGAGGAUUAGAGACCGUGAUAUUCCUAAGACUGCUUUUCGUUCGAGGUAUGGACAUUAUGAAUUCAUAGUAAUGUCUUUUGGUUUGACUAAUGCACCUGCUGUAUUUAUGGAUUUGAUGAACAGGGUGUUUAAGGAUUUCUUGGACACUUUUGUGAUAGUCUUCAUUGAUGAUAUUUUGGUUUAUUCCAAGACUGAAGCCGAACAUGAGGAACACUUACAUAAGGUGUUAGAGACUCUUCGAGUCAAUAAACUGUAUGCUAAGUUCUCUAAGUGCGAAUUUUGGUUGAAGCAGGUGGCUUUUCUUGGUCAUGUGGUUUCCAGUGAGGGAGUUUCAGUAGACCCUGCAAAGAUAGAAGCGGUUACCAGUUGGUCUCGACCCUCUACAGUUAGUGAGGUUCGUAGUUUUCUGGGUUUAGCAGGGUACUACCGGAGGUUUGUGGAGGAUUUUUCACGUUUGGCUACUCCCUUGACUCAGUUGACAAGGAAGGGAACUCCGUUUGUUUGGAGUCCAGCUUGUGAGGAUAGUUUUCAGAACUUAAAGCAAAGGUUAGUUACUGCACUGGUCCUUACGGUACCAGAUGGAUCUGAAAGUUUUGUGAUUUACAGUGAUGCUUCCAAGAAAGGACUGGGUUGUGUUUUGAUGCAGAAAGGUAAGGUGGUUGCUUAUGCCUCUCGUCAGUUGAAGAGUCACGCGCAGAACUACCCCACACAUGAUUUGGAGUUGGCAGUAGUGGUUUUUGCAUUGAAGAUAUGGAGACAUUACUUGUACGGUGAAAAGAUACAAAUCUUUACUGACCAUAAGAGCCUAAAGUACUUCUUCACUCAGAAGGAGUUGAAUAUGAGACAGCGAAGGUGGCUCGAGUUGGUAAAAGAUUAUGACUGUGAGAUAUUGUACCAUCCUGGUAAGGCGAAUGUGGUGGCUGAUGCUCUUAGUAGAAAAGUAUCACAUUCGGCAGCACUCAUUACUAGACAGGUACCAUUGCAUCGAGACUUGGAGAGAGCUGAGAUUGCAGUGUCUGUGAGGAGAGUCACCUCACAGCUAGCUCAAUUAACGGUGCAACCGACUCUGAGGCACAAGAUUGUUGAUGCUCAGAGUAAUGAUCCUUAUUUGAUGGAGAGACGUCGCCUUGUUGAAACAGGGCAGACUGAUGAGUUCUCCAUAUCCUCUGAUGGUGGGUUGAUGUUUGAGAGACGUUUAUGUGUGCCAGCGAACAGUACAGUUAAGAUUGGCUUACUAGAUGAAGCCCAUAAUUCCCCAUUUUCCAUGCAUCCUGGUAGCACGAAAAUGUAUCAGGAUCUAAAACGAUUUUAUUGGUGGCGGAAUAUGAAAAGGGAAGUGGCGGAAUUUGUUAGUAAGUGUCUAGUAUGUCAGCAAGUUAAGGCACCUAGACAGAAACCAGCAGGUUUGUUACAACCCUUAAGUGUGCCAGAGUGGAAGUGGGAGAAUGUGUCGAUGGAUUUUAUUUCAGGGCCGCCUAAGACCCUGAAGGGUUUCACAGUGAUUUUGGUUGUCAUAGACAGGCUUACGAAAUCGGCACAUUUUGUACCAGGAAAAUCCACUUAUACUGCUAGUAAGUGGGCAGAGUUGUAUUUAACUAAGAUUGUGAGACUGCAUGGAGUGCCUGUAUCGAUUGUUUCUGAUAGGGAUGCACGGUUUACUUCCAAGUUUUGGAAGGGACUUCAGGCUGCUAUGGGUACGAGAUUGGAUUUUAGUACAGCCUUUCAUCCACAGACUGAUGGUCAAACUGAACGUUUGAACCAAGUUUUAGAGGAUAUGCUACGAGCUUGUGUUAUAGAGUUUCCAGGUAGUUGGGACUCUCAUCUACAUUUGAUGGAGUUUGCUUAUAACAACAGUUUCCAGGCUACCAUCGGUAUGGCACCAUUUGAGGCUUUGUAUGGCAAAUGUUGUAGAACCCUUGUUUGUUGGAGUGAGGUUGGUGAACAUAGAUUGAUGGGACCUGAAUUAGUUCGGUCUACUAAUGAGGCUAUUCAAAAGAUUAGAGCACGUAUGCAAACAGCGCAGAGUAGACAGAAGAGUUAUGCGGAUGUACGGCGAAAAGACCUUAAGUUCGAUUUGGGAGAAAAGGUAUUCUUGAAGGUAGCACCUAUGAAGGGUGUUAUGCGUUUUGAGAAGAAAGGGAAGUUAAGUCCUCGUUUUGUUGGACCAUUUGAGAUCUUAGAGAGGGUUGGUGUUGUGGCGUAUCGCUUGGCAUUACCACCAUCACUCUCUGCAGUUCAUAAUGUUUUCCAUGUUUCGAUAUUGAGGAAGUAUGUGGCCGAUACAUCUCAUGUAGUGGACUAUGAACCCUUGGAGAUUGAUGAGCAUUUGAGCUAUGUAGAACAACCUGUGGAGAUUCUGGCUAGAGAGGUAAAGAUGCUUUGUAAUAGAAGCAUUCCAUUUGUAAAGGUUUUGUGGCGGAAUCAUCGAAUUGAAGAGGCGACAUGGGAGCGAGAGGAAGAGAUGAGGACUCGUUAUCCAGAGUUAUUUCAGGAUUAGAACUUUCGAGGACGAAAGUUUCUUAAGGAGGGAAGAAUGUAACGCCCCAAACUUGAAGGUAAAUUAUUUUGAGAGAAUUAUUUCGAUUUGUUCAAGAUUUUUUUUUAAAUAUGUUGAAGGGGAGAAAGAAGAUUUGAAAAUGUAUUAAUAUAAUUAAAUAUAUAUGUAUUUAAUUAUAUUUUUAUUAUUAUAUUUAUUCUACAUUUUAUUAAAUAAAAGAAAAGAAAAUGAAAAUUUUAAAUAUAUAUAUAUUUAUAUAUUUUUUAUUAUAAUUAUUUUAUAUAUUUUUUUAAAUAAAAAGAAAAAGAAAAUGAAAAUUUCUUUUUUUCCCUUUUCUUCUUCCUCCCGUGCGCCGCGACCCUCCUUCCCCUUCUCUCCGUUCGUGCAGCAACCGCCCCAACCGUCCUCUUCUCCGUCCGUUCGUGCCCAGCUGCAGCCCAGCCGCAAUCACCACCUCUAUCUUCUUCUUCCCGUCCCGCCGCAGCCAACCGCAGCCAGCCGCCGAUCCUUUCCUUCCAUUUUCUUCUUCCGUCCGCAGCCCCGCCGCGAAGCAAGACCGCGCCGCUGCCAGUCCAGAUCUGCGGAGCCGUUGCUCUUCCGCCGCUGCCCAACCGUCUCAGCCGGUUCUAUCUCUGUCGAAGCCACGGUUCUGCAACCGUCUCAGCCGUCUCUAUCUCCGUCCGCGAGGCAAGUCGCACGCCUCAAUCACAAACAGCCUCGCCGACGCAGGUCACGCCGUAUCGCACGAAUUCGGCUACGUUGCCGGGCUACUCCCGUCCGCGCGUAACUGCUGUUGAACGUCCGAACCGUUCUGCCUUCGUCGAUACCCACCGUCGCGGACCAGUUCGCGUGCAAAAGUGUUUUGCACGAUGUCUUUUGUGUAGAUCCUACGGCAACUUCUAUUUAACGUCGAUUGUCAAAGUCUUGUUACAAGAUAUUGGUAAGGAUGAGAUUGUUCGGUAAUAAGGUCUUACAUUUGUAAAUACAUUAAGAUGUGAUGUUGUUUAAUUGGUUGAAUUGAUCUUUGUUCUUGAAGGCGACAUCGGUGAUUUGGAGUUAGUGUCCUUGAGUUACGCCUUAAGCUUUGUUGGAGUUCGAUUCUUUACUCUUGGGGUUUGUUUGUUGAAGUUAGUUCGACUAAGGAAUUUUACAUAAAGAUCCAGGUAAGGGAUUUUCUACUGGACUCAAUUGUGAUUGUGAACUGUAUGUGUGUUGAAUGUAUACUGUGGUUUGACUGAAAAUAUAUAUGAAUGCAUAUGAAUUGAAGUAGACUUAACGUCGAAUGUAUAUCGUGAUUGUCAUGGAACAUAUAUAUAAGUGUGUGUAUGUGGACAGGAAGAAGAUUGUAGAUUGUGUUGGUAUGAGAUGUAGAUAUGAACUUGUGAUUCUCGUUUAGAUUGGGUGUAUGAUUACGCUAAAGUAUGACUGUGUGCUGGAGAACUGAGGGGUGCAUUGACUGUAUAGUGGAUUGACUGAUGUAUUAGCAUACUAUUGACAGACAUAUGACUGUAGUAAAAUAAGUUGACUGUUAGGAUGUUGAAAGAAAGAACUUUGUGACUUGAAGUAACUGAAGGAUGGGUUGAAUGGAAUGAGGGGAUAAAUUGUUAGAUUGUAUUGGGAUGUUUACCUUGUAGGUGUCCCACGGGAUCACCAAUUUAUUGUGCACCUUCGGGAGCAUUUGACUGAUAUGUGUUUCUGCAGAACACUAGACUGAUAUGUACGUCCCUCGGGGCGUUAGACUGAUAUGUACGUCCCUCGGGGCGUUAGACUGAUAUGUACGUCCCUCGGGGCGUUAGACUGAGAUGUGUAUCCUAAGGGAUCACAAGACUUCGACUGUACAGGGUGUCCCAAUAGAACUUUAACAAUUUAUUUUCCCCUGACGAGACCAGUAGAGGGUCUCUUACUGAGUAUUUAAAAUACUCACCCUUCUUAUGUUUAAUUUUCAGGCAAAGGUAAUAAAGGCGGCAAACAGGCGAGGGGCAGGAAGGAAACGUGAUGCCAUAGGAAACGUGUUUUUGCUUCCGCUUAUGGGUUCUUGUGAGGUUUAAAAUGGAUUGAAAUUUAGUUUACAAACGUUUGUUGUAAAUAGUAUUAUUUUAUGUUUUCUUGAAUGUUUAAAAAUCAGGCCUGACUUGAAGAUGUUUUUUUUAAAUUGCUUACGUUUUGUUUUAUAUUAAACAAAGCUUUUAUUUGAAAAAAAAAAAUAAGACUUACUUAGAAAAGUUGGGUCGUUACAGUUGGUAUCAGAGCCUAAGUUUUAGGUUCUGUAGACUGACUUACGAUGUAAGUCUAUGUUUUUGUGUCCCUAUGGCUAACGCGACCCUUCGUCUCUCGUCAGGUAUGCUUUAUGCUUAUAUGUAUGGUUUAUGUAUAUGACCUUGCCUAAGUUAAACUAGAAUUACAUGAAUGUUAUGAUUUAAUGGUGAAGGAUUUAAUGGUGAAAUUUAGGAAAAAUGUUGCCAUGUAGAGGUGUUCAAAGGAGUUGUCGAGUAGUAGAAAAGUAAGACGUUGUUAGCGAAAUUGUCUGUUUUGUGAUUGGAAAUCUAAGAAAAAUAAGUUAUGUAGGUGGUUUUAACGAGGACUAAAUACACGGUCAAGUUUAUACGAAACACAUUAAAUAGUUUUAGAAUGGAGGUAUUGGAAAAGAAACAAGGAAGAUGAGCAUGGUUGUCUUGAUGUGACUUUAAGAAAGAAUUUUGAGUUUCUCGUGAAUGAAAAGUUACUAGUUUGGAGUUUGAAAAUUGGAAUGUAGUUUAACCAUGGGCUAGUUUCAAGUACAAAGAGGUUGGAAUUAUCGUUUCGCUAAAAGUUAUCCCAGCUAUGAAGGUUAGUAAGUUGCUUGACCAGGGUACCUGUUGUAUUUGACUAGUGUGGUAGACACCAGAGAAGUCGAUGUUUCUUUGUUAUUUGAAUCAGUGGUGAAAAAGUAUUAUGAUAUUUUUCUAGAAGAGUUUCUAAGAUUACCGCGCUAAACAGAAAUUGGUCUUGCUAUUGAGAUAGAGUUAGACUCGUUCCUAUAUCUAAAGCUUCAUACAAAAUGGCCCCAACAGAGUUGAAAGAUUUGAAGGUGCAAUUGAAAGAAAUGUUUGACAAGGACUACAUUCGACGAAGUAUGUUAUCUUGGGGUGCACCAAUUUUUGUUUAUUAAGAAGAAAGAUGGGUCGAUGCACUUAUGUUUUGAUUGUAGAAAGUUGAAUAAGGUGUCAGUUAAGAAUAAAUAUUUUUUACCAAUGAAUGAGGAUUUGUUUGAUCAACUGCAAUAAGUCCGUGUUCUUUAAGAUUGAAUUACAUUCAGGUUAUGGCUUGUUGAGGAUUAGAGAACAGUGACAUUCCUAUGGCAGAUUUUCGUUCGUGAUAUGGACAUCAUGAGUUCAUUAUGAUGUCUUUUGAGUUGGCAAAUGCUCAAACAAUGUUUACGACUUGAUGAACAAAGUGUUUAACGAUCUCUUAGACACUUUCGUGAUUGUAUCUAUUGACGAUAUCUUAAUUUAUUCCAAAAUAGAGACAGCGCAUGAGGAGCAUUUAACAUGGUUUUAGAGGCUCUUCGAGUCAACAAAUUGUAUGCAAAGUUUUCAAAAUGUGAGUUUCGGAUGAGGCCAAGUAUCUUUCCAAGCCAUGUGGUAUCUAGAGAUGACAUUUAUGUGGAUCUCAUAAAAGAUUGAAGUCGUUACCAGUUGGCCUCAACCUUUCAUAGUCAGUGAGGUUCGUAGUCUUUUUGGGUUCAGCAGGUUAUUACUAACGGUUUGUAUAAGAAUUUUCUCGUAUAGCUACUCCUUUGACUCAGUUAACUAAGAAAAGGGACUCUGUUUGUUUGGGACAAAGCCUAUGAGGAUAGUGUUUAGGAUCUUAAGCAGAAGCUUGUACAACUCUCGUGCUUACCGUACAUGAUGGUUCAGAAAGUUUCGUAAUUUAUAGUGAUGCUUUUAGGAAAGUUUAAAAGGUAUUAUGAUUCAACAAGUUAAAGUAGUUGCUUGUACUCCUCGUCAGUUGAAGAGUCAUGAGGAAAAUUGUCCAACUUAUGAUAUGGAAUUGACAGUUGUGGUUUUUACAUUAAUGAUUUGAAGACACUAUAUGUAUGAUGAAAAGAUAUAGAUAUUUUCUAACCAAAAGAGUAUAAAAUACUUUUUCACUCAAAAGAAGUUGAGUAUGAGAUAGCAAAGAUGGUUUCAGUUAGUAAAUGACUAUGAUUGUGAGAUUUUGUACCAUCUAGGUAAGGCGAAUGUGGAAGUUGGUGCUCUUCGUAGAAAAGUAUCACAUUUUGACAGCACUUAUUACCAGACAGGUUUCAUUAGACAAAAACCACGAGAGAGCUGAGAUUGUAGUUUUAGUGGGGGAAGUCACCUCAAAGUUAGCUCAGUUGUCAGUACAUCCGAUCUUGAGACAAAGAAUUCUUGUGGUUCAAUUCAUUGAUCCUUAUUUGAUUGAGAAGCAUUGCCUAGUAGAAGUAGGGCAAGUUAAGGAGUUUUCCAUAUCCUUUGAUGAUGAACUUAUGUUUGAGAGAGAAUUAUGUGAGCCAACAGAAAAUGCAAUUAAGACAAGGUUAUUGGUUGAGACUCAUAGUUUCCCAUUUCUCAUGCAUCCAAGUAGCACAAAAAUGUAUCAGGAUCUAAAACGAUUUUAUUGGUGGCGGAAUAUGAAAAGGGAAGUGGCGGAAUUUGUUAGUAAGUGUCUAGUAUGUCAGCAAGUUAAGGCACCUAGACAGAAACCAGCAGGUUUGUUACAACCCUUAAGUGUGCAAGAGUGGAAGUGGGAGAAUGUGUUGAUGGAUUUUAUUUCAGGGCUGCCUAAGACCCUGAAGGGUUUCACAGUGAUUUUGGUUGUCAUAGACAGGCUUACGAAAUCGACACAUUUUGUACCAGGAAAAUCCACUUAUACUGCUAGUAAGUGGGCAGAGUUGUAUUUAACUGAGAUUUGUGAGACUGCAUGGAGUGCCUGUAUCGAUUGUUUCUGAUAGGGGUGCACGGUUUACUUCCAAGUUUUGGAAGGGACUUCAGACUGCUAUGGGUACGAGAUUGGAUUUUAGUACAGCCUUUCAUCCACAGACUGAUGGUCAAACUGAACGUUUGAACCAAGUUUUAGAGGAUAUGCUACGAGCUUGUGUUAUAGAGUUUCCAGGUAGUUGGGACUCUCAUCUACAUUUGAUGGAGUUUGCUUAUAACAACAGUUUCAAGGCUACCAUCGGUAUGGCACCAUUUGAGGCUUUGUAUGGCAAAUGUUGUAGAACCCCUGUUUGUUGGAGUGAGGUUGGUGAACAUAGGUUGAUGGGACCUGAAUUAGUUCGGUCUACUAAUGAGGCUAUUCAAAAGAUUAGAGCACGUAUGCAAACAGCGCAGAGUAGACAGAAGAGUUAUGCAGAUGUACGGCGAAAAGACCUUAAGUUCGAUGUGGGAGAAAAGGUAUUCUUGAAGGUAGCACCUAUGAAGGGUGUUAUGAUUUUUGAGAAGAAAGGGAAGUUAAGUCCUCGUUUUGUUGGACCAUUUGAGAUCUUAGAGAGGGUUGGUGUUGUGGCGUAUCGCUUGGCAUUACCACCAUCACUCUCUGCAGUUCAUAAUGUUUUCCAUGUUUCGAUGUUGAGGAAGUAUGUGGCCGAUACAUCUCAUGUAGUGGACUAUGAACCCUUGGAGAUUGAUGAUCAUUUGAGCUAUGUAGAACAACCUGUGGAGAUUCUGGCUAGAGAGGUAAAGAUGCUUUGUAAUAGAAGCAUUCCAUUAGUAAAGGUUUUGUGGCGGAAUCAUCGAAUUAAAGAGGCGACAUGGGAGCGAGAGGAAGAGAUGAGGACUCGUUAUCCAGAGUUAUUUCAGGAUUAGAACUUUCGAGGACGAAAGUUUCUUAAGGAGGGAAGAAUGUAACGCCCCAAACUUGAAGGUAAAUUAUUUUGAGAGAAUUAUUUCGAUUUGUUCAAGAUUUUUUUUUUAAAUAUGUUGAAGGGGAGAAAGAAGAUUUGAAAAUGUAUUAAUAUAAUUAAAUAUAUAUGUAUUUAAUUAUAUUUUUAUUAUUAUAUUUAUUCUACAUUUUAUUAAAUAAAAGAAAAGAAAAUGAAAAUUUUAAAUAUAUAUAUAUAUAUAUAUAUAUAUAUAUAUAUUUAUAUAUUUUUUAUUAUAAUUAUUUUAUAUAUUUUUUUAAAUAAAAAGAAAAAGAAAAUGAAAAUUUCUUUUUUUCCCUUUUCUUCUUCCUCCCGUGCGCCGCGACCCUCCUUCCCCUUCUCUCCGUUCGUGCAGCAACCGCCCUAACCGUCCUCUUCUCCUUCCGUUCGUGCCCAGCCGCAGCCCAGCCGCAAUCACCACCUCUAUCUUCUUCUUCCCGUCCCGCCGCAGCCAACUGCAGCCAGCCGCCGAUCCUUUCCUUCCAUUUUCUUCUUCCGUCCGCAGCCCUGCCGCGAAGCAAGACCACGCCGCUGCCAGUCCAGAUCUGCGGCGCCGUUGCUCUUCCGCCGCUGCCCAACCGUCUCAGCCGGUUCUGUCUCUGUCGAAGCCACGGUUCUGCAACCGUCUCCGCCGUCUCUAUCUCCGUCCGCGAGGCAAGUCGCACGCCUCAGUCACGAACAGCCUCGCCGACGCAGGUCACGCCGUAUCGCACGAAUUCGGCUACGUUGCCGGGCUACUCCCAUCCGCGCGUAACUGCUGUUGAACGUCCGAACCGUUCUGCCUUCGUCGAUACCCACCGUCGCGGACCAGUUCGCGUGCAAAAGUGUUUUGCACGAUGUCUUUUGUGUAGAUCCUGCGGCAACUUCUAUUUAACGUCGAUUGUCAAAGUCUUGUUACAAGAUAUUGGUAAGGAUGAGAUUGUUCGGUAAUAAGGUCUUACAUUUGUAAAUACAUUAAGAUGUGAUGUUGUUUAAUUGGUUGAAUUGAUCUUUGUUCUUGAAGGCGACAUCGGUGAUUUGGAGUUAGUGUCCUUGAGUUACGCCUUAAGCUUUGUUGGAGUUCGAUUCUUUACUCUUGGGGUUUGUUUGUUGAAGUUAGUUCGACUAAGGAAUUUUACAUAAAGAUCCAGGUAAGGGAUUUUCUACUGGACUCAAUUGUGAUUGUGAACUGUAUGUGUGUUGAAUGUAUACUGUGGUUUGACUGAAAAUAUAUAUGAAUGCAUAUGAAUUGAAGUAGACUUAACGUCGAAUGUAUAUCGUGAUUGUCAUGGAACAUAUAUAUAAGUGUGUGUAUGUGGACAGGACGAAGAUUUUAGAUUGUGUUGGUAUGAGAUGUAGAUAUGAACUUGUGAUUCUCGUUUAGAUUGGGUGUAUGAUUACGCUAAAGUAUGACUGUGUGCUGGAGAACUGAGGGGUGCAUUGACUGUAUAGUGGAUUGACUGAUGUAUUAGCAUAUUAUUGACAGACAUAUGACUGUAGUAAAAUAAGUUGACUGUUAGGAUGUUGAAAGAAAGAACUUUGUGACUUGAAGUAAUUGAAAGAUGGGUUGAAUGGAAUGAAGGGAUAAAUUGUUAGAUUGUAUUGGGAUGUUUACCUUGUAGGUGUCCCACGGGAUCACCAAUUUAUUGUGCACCUUCGGGAGCAUUUGACUGAUAUGUGUUUCUGCAGAACACUAGACUGAUAUGUACGUCCCUCGGGGCGUUAGACUGAUAUGUACGUCCCUCGGGGCGUUAGACUGAGAUGUACGUCCCUCGGGGCGUUAGACUGAUAUGUACGUCCCUUGGGGCGUUAGACUGAGAUGUGUAUCCUACGGGAUCACAAGACUGCGACUGUACAGGAUGACCCAAUAGAACUUUAACAAUUUAUUUUCCCCUGACGAGACGAGUAGAGGGUCUCUUACUGAGUAUUUAAAAUACUCACCCUUCUUAUGUUUAAUUUUCAGGCAAAGGUAAUAAAGGCGGCAAACAGGCGAGGGGCAGGAAGGAAACGUGAUGCCAUAGGAAACGUGUUUUUGCUUCUGCUUAUGGGUUCUUGAGAGGUUUAAAAUGGAUUGAAAUUUAGUUUACAAACGUUUGUUGUAAAUAGUAUUAUUUUAUGAAUGUUUAAAAAUCAGGCCUGACUUGAAGAUGUUUUUUUUAAAUUGCUUACGUUUUGUUUUAUAUUAAACAAAGUCUUUAUUUGAAAAAAAAAAAAAUAACGACCUCGACUUACUUAGAAAAGUUGGGUCGUUACAGUAAAUGUUUUUAUAUGACUAACAACAUAUAUAUGUAUUAUGGAGUAGUAUAAAUGUAAUUGUUGAGCAAGAAAUUUCAACCAAUGAAAUUACACCACGUCGUCACACCCAAGUUGUGAUGAUUAUAAUUUGAUUGGAUUUGGGUAGUCAAGUUUUCCAACCCAAUUCAAGCCCCUGAUAAAAAAUCAGGCCAAAUAAAGGGGCCUAAGCCCACUAAGAAAAUGGGCCCAAGCCCAAGUCCAAGCUCAACAACUCAACAAGCAAAUGGGUCCAAGCCCACAUAAAGUCCACAAAUUUUCUCUAUAAAUAGAGACCUUUGUCAUUCAUUCGAGAGAUCUUUUGUUGAAGGAAGAAAUGAAGCUCUGAAGUACAGAAGCUUUGAAGAAUUGAAGAUUCAAACUUCUAUAGAGCUCUCAAGACGUGCAAGUUCUUAUCAACUUCGAGAUCAUCAUCUCCUGAAAUAUUGAAGACUUGGAAGAUCAAAAUUUCCUUGAAUUCCAGAAGACUGAAGCUGAAAUAGACCGAACCAUUUAAAUUCGGUUUGGACUAUUUGAGCCAGCAACAAACUGUGUUUUUUGUUUUGUACAUAAAUGGUGUGGUUUGAUUCGGUUUUAACAAGCGGUUCAAUUUAUACCGUUUAGACUUGAUCUUAUAUAAUGUGAAAUUAUUUUUUUUCUUUGAAUUUUUAUCUAAGUGUACUCAAAUUGUAUACCAUGUUACAAAAUUAAUUGCAAUAAAUUUUUUAAAAUUUUCAAAAAUAUCAUAAAUUGACUAAUAUUUUAUACAAAUAUAGAGUAAAAAUGACCAAUUUACUCUUUUUAUUAUUAAUAAUAUAUUAAAAAUAAAAAAGAAAAGUGAACCACGUUUAAGAUUUUCAUUUAUUAAAUAUUCUAUGAAAAUAUGGAUUAAAUUCUAUUAAAGUAAUAUUAAUAAUAAAAAUUGUCCUUAGUUUGCUUUUUAUGAUUUUAUUAAAAAAUUGUCAUUUUUUAUUUUGCAUUCUUUUUCAUAUAUUUUAUAUAAUUAUAGUAUAUAUUGAAUAAUAUAAUGUAUAUUUUAUUAGUGAAAUGUUCUUAUAUCAAUUUAUUUAUUUAUUUUAUUUAAGUAUUCAUAUCUUACGUAGUAAAUAAUACAUUAUGUUUGAAAUAAUAUUAAUUAUAUAUGAAAGUUGUUUAUGUUUACAAGAACAUGAAUGAGAAAUAAUUAUGAUGAGUAUAUGUAAUAUAUGUCAUUAAAAUAUUUGUUAUUCUCUAGUAUCUGUAAUAGGGGUGUUCAAAAUGAAGUUGAAAACUGAAUCGAAUCACUAAUCGAACCGAAAUCGAAUGCAUAUGGUUCGGUUCGAUUCGAUUUCUAUUUAAAAAAAACCACAUAAAAUUCGGUUCGGUUCAGUUUAAGAUGUUAAGAACGCGAUUCUCAAACCGAACUGAAUUGCUUUAUUUUAAAAACUAAAUAUAUAUAUAUAUAUAUAUGUUAAUAUGUAUGUAUGAUAUUCUCUAUAACACAAGCUCGUAGCAUAUCCUCUAAACCAAUUUACUCUUUUUAUUAUUAAUAAUAUAUUAAAAAUAAAAAGAAAAGUGAACCACGUUUAAGAUUUUCAUUUAUUAAAUAUUCUAUGAAAAUAUGGAUUAAAUUCUAUUAAAGUAAUAUUAUGUAAUGCCCAAAGAAAAGGUAAAUAUAUAUAUAUAUAUAUAUAUAUAUAUAUAUAUAUAUAUUAUUUUUAUUUUAAUAUUAAAAAAUUUCUUUAUUUUUUUCUCUUCUUUUCUUCUUUUUCUUUUUCUUUUCUUUUCUCCCUUCUUCUUCCCCGUGCGACCGCGACCCCUAUCCAUCUUCUCCACUCCGUUCUCCAUCUCCGUUCGCGAAGCAGCCUUGCAGCAGCCGCCGCGUAACUGUCUGAUCCAGAUCUGCGUCGCAGCCCGGGAACCGCCGCCCUUAUUUUCUUUCCGGUCGUUUUCUUUCUCCUUCGGAUCGAAACUGCCACGACCAUCCACCUGUUACUGCCGUUGCUCUUCCGCCUCUGCCCAGUUUUGCCGCGCAACACCUGUCUCCGUCGAAGCCAACCCAGCCGUCGUCUCUAUCUCCGUUCGCGAGGCAAAUCGCACGCCUCAGUCACGAACAGCCUCGCCGACGCAGGUCACGCCGCAUCGUACGAGUUCGGCUACGUUGCCGGGCUACUCCCGUCCGCGCGUAACUGCUGUUGAACGUCCGAACCAUUCUGUCUUCGUCGAUACUCGCUGUCCAUUUACGAAUUGUGGACCGAUUCGCGUGCAGAUUUGUUUGCACGAUUUCUUUUGUGUAGAUCCUGCUGCGGCAACUUCUAUUUUAACGUUGAUUGUCAAAGUCUUGUUAUAAGUUAUUGGUAAGGAUGAGAUUGUUGGGUAAUAAGGUUUUACAUUUGUAAAUACAUUAAGAUGUGAUGUUUGUUUAAUUGGUUGAAUUGAUGUUUGUUCUUGAAGGCGACAUCGGUGAUUUGGAGUUACUGUCCUUGAGUUACGCCUUAAGCUUUGUUGGAAUUCGAUUCUUUACUCUUUGGGGUUUGUUUGUUGGAAUUAGUUCGACCAAGAAAUUUUACAUAAAAUCGAGGUAAGGGAUUUUCUACUGGACUCAAUUGUGAUUGUGAACUGUGAUUGUGAACUGUAUGUGUGUUGAAUGUAUACUGUGGGUUGACUGAAAAUAUAUAUGAAUGUAUAUGAAUUGAAGUAGACUUGACGUCGAAUGUAUGUCGUGAUUGUCAUGGAAUCUAUAUAUAAAUGUGUGUAUAUGGACAGGACGGAGAUUGUAGAUUGUGUUUGUAUGAGAUUCUCGUUUAGAUUGGGUGUAUGAUUACGCUAAAGUAUGACUGUGUGCUGGUGAACUGAGGGGUGCAUUGACUGUAUAGUGGAUUGACUGAUGUAUUAGCAUAUUAUUGACAGACAUAUGACUGUAGUAAAAUAAGUUGACUGUUAGGAUGUUGAAAGAAAGAACUUUGUGACUUGAAGUAACUGAAAGAUGGGUUGAAUGGAAUGAGGGGAAAAUUUUUAGAUUGUAUUGGGAUGUUUACCUUGUAGGUGUCCCACGGGAUCACCAAUUUAUUGUGCACCUUCGGGAGCAUUUGACUGAUAUGUGUUUCUGCAGAACACUAGACUGAUAUGUACGUCCCUCGGGGCGUUAGACUGAUAUGUACGUCCCUCGAGGCGUUAGACUGAGAUGUGUAUCCUACGGGAUCACAAGACUGCGACUGUACAGGGUGUCCCAAUAGAACUUUAACAAUUUAUUUUCCCCUGACGAGACCAGUAGAGGGUCUCUUACUGAGUAUUUAAAUACUAACCCUUCUUAUGUUUAAUUUUCAGGCAAAGGUAAUAAAGGCGCCAAACAGGCGAGGGGCAGGAAGGAAGCGUGAUGCUAUAGGAAACGUGUUUUUGCUUCCACUUAUGGGUUCUUGUGAGGUGUAAAAAAAAUAAUAACGACCUCGACUUACAUAGAAAAGUUGGGUCGUUACAGUUGGUAUCAGAGCCUAAGUUUUAGGUUCUGUAGACUGACUUACGAUGUAAGUCUAUGUUUUUGUGUUCCUAUGGCUAACGCGACCCUUCGUCUCUCGUCAGGUAUGCUUGAUGCUUAUAUGUAUGGUUUAUUUGCAUGACCUUGCCUAAAUUAAACUAGAUUGCAUGACGAUAAAGACUUGCUUAUGCUUAUGAUUAAGAUUUUGUUAAAGAGUGUUGUUGGUGGAUAAUAGGAAUUAUGCCGCCAAGGGAGGGUGUACGUAGAGGAGGUCGUAGAGGCCGAGGUAGAGGAGUAGGAGGUCGAGGUAGAGGCGCAGGUCGUAAUCAGCCUACUGAGGGUCAAGCUGAACAGCGAAUUCCUGCUGCACCCGUGACUCACGUUGAGUUUGAUGCACUGUCUGCUCACAUGGAGCAGAGGUUUACAAAACUUAUGACAGCUAUAGCUCAAAACCAGCAGGAACCUGCGGUUCCACCUGCACCUGUAGUUCCCCCUGCACUGCAGCCCCUCGUGCACAAGGAUUACCGAACCAACUUUCUGCUGAGGCGAAACAUUUGAGGGACUUUCAGAAGUAUGACCCUCAGACGUUUGAUGGGUCACUGGAGGAUCCUACUAAAGCUGAAAUGUGGUUGUCCUCUGUGGAAACCAUAUUUAAUUACAUGAGAUGUCCCGAGGAGCACAGAGUUCAGUGUGCUGCUUUUCUACUGAGGGACAGAGGCAUUAUCUGGUGGAGGACUACAAUGCGCAUGCUAGGUGGAGAUGUGAGGCAAAUUACCUGGGAUCAGUUUAAGGACUGCUUCUAUACCAAGUUUUUCUCGGCUAACCUUAGAGACGCCAAAAGCCAGGAAUUCUUGGAGUUGAAGCAAGGAUAUAUGACAGUCGAGGAGUACGACCAGGAGUUUGAUAUGCUGUCACGUUUUGCCCCUGAGCUUGUUAGUAAUGAGCAGGCUAGAGCUGAUAGGUUCGUCAAGGGAUUGAGAGAUGAAAUUAGGGGCUUUGUGCGAGCACUAAAGCCCACUACCCAAGCUGAAGCACUGCGUCUGACAGUGGAUAUGAGCAUUGGGAAUGAUGAAAUACAGCCAAGGAGCUUUGAUAAGGGAUCGUCGUCGGGUCAAAAGAGAAAAGUAGAGUAGAGAACUGUAGGAGUUCCUCAGAGGAACUUGAGACCAGGCGAUCCUUUUCGCAGUUUCCAGCAGAGUUCUGGCGGUGCAGGAGACACUACUCGAGAGAGGCCAGUAUGUAAUACAUGUGGGAAACGCCACCUGGGUCGUUGUUUGAUGGGAACGAGAGUCUGUUAUAAGUGCAAGCAAGAGGGACACAUGGCUGAUAGGUGUCCCUUGAGAUCUACUGGGGCUGGAUCGAGCAGUCAGGGAGAGAGACCUCCACAGCGUGGUACAAUCUUUGCCACUAAUAGAUCAGAGGCAGAGAAGGUCGGCACAAUAGUGACAGGUACAUUACCAGUGUUAGGGCAUUUUGCCUUGACCUUGUUUGACUCGGGAUCUUCUCAUUCAUUUAUUUCAUCGCUUUUUGUGAUGCAUGCAUGCUUAGAGGUGGAACCCUUAGACUAUGUUUUGUCAGUGUCUACACCGUCUGGAGAAAUUAUGUUGUCUAAGGAAAAGAUUAAAGCAUGUGAAAUUGAGAUAGCUGGUCGUGUGCUGGACGUAACCUUGUUGGUAUUAGAUAUGUGUGACUUUGAUGUAAUUUUAGGUAUGGAUUGGCUAGCUACUAAUCAUGCUAGUAUUGAUUGUUCUCGUAAGGAAGUUGUGUUCAGUCCCCCUACUGCAUCUAGCUUUAAAUUCAAGGGGGUAGGAACAGUAGUACUGCCUAAAGUAAUCUCAGCUAUGAAAGCUAGUAAACUACUCAACCAGGGUACUUGGAGUAUUUUGGCAAGUGUGGUGGAUACUAGGGAAGGUGAGACUUCUUUAACUUCAGAACCUGUGGUAAGAGAAUACCCAGAUGUGUUUCCAAAAGAUCUUCCAGGACUACCGCCACAUAGAGAGGUUGAUUUUGCCAUUGAGUUGGAGCCAAACACUACUCCUAUUUCUAGAGCCCCUUAUAGGAUGGCUCCUGCUGAGUUGAAAGAAUUGAAGGUACAGUUACAGGAAUUGCUUGACAAAGGCUUUAUUCGACCUAGUGUGUCAUCUUGGUGUGCACCAGUAUUGUUUGUGAAGAAGAAGGAUGGGUCGAUGCGUCUUUGCAUUGACUAUAGAGAGUUGAAUAAAGUAACAGUCAAGAACAGAUAUCCUUUACCCAGAAUCGAUGAUUUGUUCGAUCAGUUACAGGGAGCCACAGUGUUCUCUAAGAUUGAAUUAUGGUCAGGUUAUCACCAGUUGAGGAUUAGAGACCGUGAUAUUCCUAAGACUGCUUUUCGUUCGAGGUAUGGACAUUAUGAAUUCAUAGUAAUGUCUUUUGGUUUGACUAAUGCACCUGCUGUAUUUAUGGAUUUGAUGAACAGGGUGUUUAAGGAUUUCUUAGACACUUUUCUUGGUCAUGUGGUUUCCAGUGAGGGAGUUUCAGUAGACCCUGCAAAGAUAGAAGCGGUUACCAGUUGGUCUCGACCCUCUACAGUUGGUGAGGUUCGUAGUUUUCUGGGUUUAGCAGGGUACUACCGGAGGUUUGUGGAGGAUUUUUCAUGUUUGGCUACUCCUUUGACUCAGUUGACAAGGAAGGGAACUCCGUUUGUUUGGAGUCCAGCUUGCGAGGACAGUUUUCAGAACUUAAAGCAAAGGUUAGUUACUGCACCGGUCCUUACUGUACCAGAUGGAUCUGGAAGUUUUGUGAUUUACAGUGAUGCUUCCAAGAAAGGACUGGGUUGUGUUAUGAUGCAGAAAGGUAAGGUGGUUGCUUAUGCCUCUCGUCAGUUGAAGAGUCACGAGCAGAACUACCCCAUACAUGAUUUGGAGUUGGCAGCAGUGGUUUUUGCAUUGAAGAUAUGGAGACAUUACUUGUACGGUGAAAAGAUACAAAUCUUUACUGACCAUAAGAGCCUAAAGUACUUCUUCACUUAGAAGGAGUUGAAUAUGAGACAACGAAGGUGGCUCGAGUUGGUAAAAGAUUAUGACUGUGAGAUAUUGUACCAUCCUGGUAAGGCGAAUGUGGUGGCUGAUGCUCUUAGUAGAAAAGUAUCACAUUCGGCAGCACUCAUUACUAGACAGGUACCAUUGCAUCGAGACUUGGAGAGAGCUGAGAUUGCAGUGUCUGUGGGGAGAGUCACCUCACAGUUGGCUCAAUUAACGGUGCAACCGACUCUAAGGCAGAAGAUUGUUGAUGCUCAGAGUAGUCAUCCUUAUUUGAUGGAGAGAUGUCGCCUUGUUGAAACAGGGCAGACUGAUGAGUUCUCCAUAUCCUCUGAUGGUGGGUUGAUGUUUGAAAGACGUUUGUGUGUGCCAGCGAACAGUACAGUUAAGAUUGACUUACUAGAUGAAGCCCAUAAUUCCCCAUUUCCAAUGCAUCCUGGUAGCACGAAAAUGUAUCAGGAUCUAAAACGAUUUUAUUGGUGGCGGAAUAUGAAAAGGGAAGUGGCGGAAUUUGUUAGUUAGUGUCUAGUAUGUCAGCAAGUUAAGGCACCUAGACAGAAACCAGCAGGUUUGUUACAACCCUUAAGUGUGCCAGAGUGGAAGUGGGAGAAUGUGUCGAUGGAUUUUAUUUCAGGGCUGCCUAAGACCCUGAAGGGUUUCACAGUGAUUUUGGUUGUCAUAGACAGACUUACGAAAUCGGCACAUUUUGUACCAGGGAAAUCCACUUAUACUGCUAGUAAGUGGGCAGAGUUGUAUUUAACUGAGAUUGUGAGACUGCAUGGAGUGCCUGUAUCGAUUGUUUCUGAUAGGGAUGCACGGUUUACUUCCAAGUUUUGGAAGGGACUUCAGACUGCUAUGGGUACGAGGUUGGAUUUCAGUACAGCUUUUCAUCCACAGACUGAUGGUCAAACUGAACGUUUGAACCAAGUUUUAGAGGAUAUGCUACGAGCUUGUGUUAUAGAGUUUCUAGGUAGUUGGGACUUUCAUCUACAUUUGAUGGAGUUUGCUUAUAACAACAGUUUUCAGGCUACCAUCGGUAUGGCACCAUUUGAGGCUUUGUAUGGCAAAUGUUGUAGAACCCCUGUUUGUUGGAGUGAGGUUGGUGAACAUAGAUUGAUGGGACCUGAAUUAGUUCGGUCUACUAAUGAGGCUAUUCAAAAUAUUAGAGCACUUAUGCAAACAGCGCAGAGUCGACAGAAGAGUUAUGCGGAUGUACAGCGAAAAGACCUUAAGUUCGAUGUGGGAGAAAAGGUAUUCUUGAAGGUAGCACCUAUGAAGGGUGUUAUGCGUUUUGAGAAGAAAGGAAAGUUAAGUCCUCGUUUUGUUGGACCAUUUGAGAUCUUAGAGAGGGUUGGUGUUGUGGCGUAUCGCUUGGCAUUACCACCAUCUCUCUCUGCAGUUCAUAAUAUUUUCCAUGUUUCGAUGUUGAGGAAGUAUGUGGUGGAUACAUCUCAUGUAGUAGACUAUGAACCCUUGGAGAUUGAUGAGCAUUUGAGCUAUGUAGAACAACCUGUGGAGAUUCUGGCUAGAGAGGUAAAGAUGCUUCGUAAUAGAAGCAUUCCAUUAGUAAAGGUUUUGUGGCAGAAUCAUCGAAUUGAAGAAGCGACAUGGGAGCGAGAAGAAGAGAUGAGGACUCGUUAUCCAGAGUUAUUUCAGGAUUAGAACUUUCGAGGACGAAAGUUUCUUAAGGGGGGAAGAAUGUAAAGUCCCAAAGGUAAAAAUAUAUAUAUAUAUAUACAUUUUUUUUAAUUUAUAUAUAUAUAUAUAUAUAUAUUUUCUUUUCUUUUCUUUUUCUUUUCUUUUCUCUCUUCUCCUUCCUCCCCGUGCGUUCUCCUUCCCGUUCGCAGCAACCGCCGCCCCAUCUAUUCUCUUUCCGUUCGUGCGCAGCCGCAGUCCAACCACCCCUUCUUUUCUUUUCUUCCUCUUUCGUUCGACGUCGACGGUCAGGCCAAGCCAAACCGCCGCUGCAACCGUCGGCCGCCGUCUCUGUUGCGAAGCAAGGCCGCCGCGUGACCUUCCGCCCACCGCCGUGUGACCCUCUGUCCAGAUCUGCACCGCUAGAUCGAGCCGUCCACCGGUUUCGUCUGUUUCUGUCUCCGUUCACCGAAGUCGAACCCAACCGCCACCCUUUCUUUUCUUCUUCGAUCCAAAAACUGCCGCUGCAACCGUCAGCCGCCGCGUGACCUCUGCCCAGCACCGCCGCGCGACCUCUGUCUCUGCGCCGUUACCCAGAUCUGCGUCGCCGUGCCCCAUCCUAAUCGUCUCUGUCUCUGUCGAAGUUUUGUUGGUAAGAUUGAAGUUAUGAAAUUGUAGUC